rnacentral:siRNA from 1 species
UAACUGCGGAGUUCUGAUGGGA